rnacentral:rRNA from 1 species
CCCUUAGAUGUUCUGGGCUGCACGCGCGCUACACUGAAGCGUUCAACGAGUAUUCACCUUGCCCGGGAGGGUUGGGUAAUCUUUUGAAAACGCUUCGUGAUGGGGAUAGAUUAUUGUAAUUAUUAAUCUUCAACGAGGAAUGCCUAGUAAGCGCAAGUCAUCAGCUUGCGUUGAUUACGUCCCUGCCCUUUGUACACACCGCCCGUCGCUCCUACCGAUUGAAUGGUCCGGUGAAGCGUUCGGACCGUGGCCUUUGGACGGUUCGCCGUCUGUUGGCUGCGGGAAGUUCGUUAAACCUUAUCAUUUAGAGGAAGGAGAANUCGUANCA